rnacentral:rRNA from 1 species
UCUAAAGCCAAUUGCGAGUCGAAUGUAGCAAUACAUGGCGUACUGCUCAGUAACACGUGGACAACCUACCCUCCGGACGGGUAUAAACCCGGGAAACUGGGUAUAAUCCCCGAUAGAUCUCGGUCGCUGGAAAGCCCCGAGAUCGAAAGCUCCGGCGCCAGAGGAUGGGUCUGCGGCCUAUCAGGUAGUAGUGGGCGUAGCGUACCUACUAGCCUACGACGGGUACGGGUUGUGAGAGCAAGAGCCCGGAGAUGGAUUCUGAGACACGAAUCCAGGCCCUACGGGGUGCAGCAGGCGCGAAAACUUUACAAUGCCGGCAACGGCGAUAAGGGGACCUCGAGUGCCAGGUUACAAAUCUGGCUGUCGUGAUGCCUAAAAAGCAUUGCAUAGCAAGGGCCGGGCAAGACCGGUGCCAGCCGCCGCGGUAACACCGGCGGCUCGAGUGGUAACCGUUAUUAUUGGGUCUAAAGGGUCUGUAGCCGGCCAGAUAAGUCUCUUGAGAAAUCCAGCAGCUCAACUGUUGGGCUUUCAGGAGAUACUGUCUGGCCCGAGGCCGGGAGAGGUGAGAGGUACUUCAGGGGUAGGGGUGAAAUCUUGUAAUCCUUGAAGGACCACCAGUGGCGAAGGCGUCUCACCAGAACGGACCUGACGGCAAGGGACGAAAGCUAGGGGCACGAACCGGAUUAGAUACCCGGGUAGUCCUAGCCGUAAACGAUACUCGCUAGGUGUCGGCCACGGUGCGACCGUUGUCGGUGCCGUAGGGAAGCCGUGAAGCGAGCCACCUGGGAAGUACGGCCGCAAGGCUGAAACUUAAAGGAAUUGGCGGGGGAGCACCACAACGGGUGGAGCUUGCGGUUUAAUUGGAUUCAACGCCGGAAAUCUUACCGGGACCGACAGCAAUAUGAAGGCCAGGCUGAAGACUUUGCCGGAUUAGCUGAGAGGUGGUGCAUGGCCGUCGUCAGUCGUACUGAANCAC